ACUCCCCAGGGACCACUGUGUGUUCCUGCCUGUGACCAGGGUUGACUGAACUGCCAAGAUGUCCUGCCAGCAGAACCAGCAGCAGUGCCAGCACCCUCCCAAGUGCCCCCCCAAGUGCCCCGUCCCUAAGUGCCCCCCCAAGUGCCCUCCUAAGUGCCCUCCAGUCUCUUCCUGCUGCAGUGGCAGCUCCGGGGGCUGCUGUGGCUCCAGUUCUGGGGGAGGGGGCUGCUGCAGCUCUGGGCAUGGGGGCUGCUGCCUGAGCCACCACAGGCCCCACCUCUUCCACCGGCGCCGGCACCAGAACCCUGACUGCUGUGAAUGUGAGCCCUCGGAAGGCUCUGGGGGCUGCUGCUGACCUGGACCCUGGGGACCCCCAAAGAACAAAUGAACAGAGCACCAAAUACGUCUGCUUCCCCCCGCCUCACUCCCCAUCUCAGACAUCCUGACAUCCGGGGCUGACAUGUCCUGAGCUAACUCAGACACUUCUGUGUGUAGACCUUUCUGCUCCUCCUCCUUUACCUUUGCAAAAAUAAAGUUUCGGUUUCCUACUCA